rnacentral:rRNA from 1 species
GAUGAACGCUGGCGGCGUGCUUAACACAUGCAAGUCGAACGAUAAAGCCCAGCUUUUUGGGUGUGUUCGUGUCGCACGGGUGUGUGACACGUGAGUAACCUCCCCUUUUCUCUUUGAUAUACCUUCGAGACUCUGUCUCUUACCGCAUAUGAGCGCUUCCGGCGCGUGGUGUGUUUGAGAGAUUUAGCGGUUUUGGAUGGACUCGCGGCGUAUCAGCUUGUUGGUGUGGUAGUGGCUCACCAAGGCGACGACGGGUAGCCGGCCUGAGAGGGUGACCGGCCACACUGGGACUGAGACACGGCCCAGACUCCUACGGGAGGCAGCAGUGGGGAAUAUUGCACAAUGGGCGAAAGCCUGAUGCAGCGACGCCGCGUGAGGGAUGACGGCCUUCGGGUUGUAAACCGCUUUCGGUAGGGAAGAAGCGAAAGUGACGGUAACGGCAGAAGAAGCACCGGCUAACUACGUG